GACUUGAACGCAGCAUAAGGACAUUUGCGAAUCUCAAAAAACAUGGUCGCCAUUAGACAAUGAAUUUUGAGCACCUAUUAGACAAGGUUAACAGAGGCCGA